CUUCAAGGGCCAUUGUAAGCAACAUAACAAUGUAUGUUUUUUGCAUAAGUUAUGAUUCAAGAAACAGCUCUCUUAUUGUGUUUGUACAGCAGCAAUUUGCCAAAUCACUGCACCUAUAAGACUGUGCUUCCAUCUACGUUGUGCAUACAGUGUGCCAUGUGAAACACUACCGCCCCCAAGCUGUGACUGUGUGCAUGCAUAGUUGUCAGCUUGAGAGUCUACUUUGCAUCACCAUGUUCACAGAAAUGUGUAUAAACAUUUAAUUGCG